GCAGACACAUUCCAGCCAAUCAGCAGCAGACCCUCCCUCCCAGGCCUUCCCACCUCCUGGACAGCAUCCAUUUUGAAGCUGCAUUCUUAGUGAGCUGUCCAGGAGGUGGGAGGGUCUGGGAGGGAGGGUCUGCUGCUGAUUGGCUGGAAUGUGUCUG